rnacentral:tRNA from 1 species
UCCCUCAUAGCUCAGUCGGUAAAGAAUUUGCCUGCAACGCAGGAGACCUAGGUUCAAUUCCUGGGUUGGGAA